rnacentral:rRNA from 1 species
AACGCGAAGAACCUUACCCAGACUUGACAUGCAGUGGACGUAUCCAGAAAUGGAUAUUCUCUUCGGAGCCGCUGCACAGGUGCUGCAUGGCUGUCGUCAGCUCGUGCCGUGAGGUGUUGGGUUAAGUCCCGCAACGAGCGCAACCCUUAUCGUUAGUUGCCAUCAAGUAAUGUUGGGCACUCUAAUGAGACUGCCUGGGUUAACCAGGAGGAAGGUGAGGAUGAUGUCAAGUCCGCAUGGCCCUUACGUCUGGGGCUACACACGUGCUACAAUGGCCGGUACAAAAGGCAGCGAAACCGCGAGGUGAAGCAAAUCCUAGAAAGCCGGUCCCAGUUCGGAUUGUAGUCUGCAACUCGACUACAUGAAGUUGGAAUUGCUAGUAAUGGCGAGUCAGCAACAUCGCCGUGAAUACGUUCCCGGGCCUUGUACACACCGCACGA